ACAUACGACCAUACCUACUGGAAAACAUUGGAUCCCGUUCGCUCUCCGUGCAUUAAGCCAGUAAGGGGCAGAUUAGUAGUUGGGUCGGUGACGACCAGCGAACACCGGCUGUUGUACGUU
rfam:Aschersonia aleyrodis RCEF 2490 scaffold_1, whole genome shotgun sequence.